GAUGUAACUAAGUCAUCAGGUAUGUGCCUGAUCUCGUCCAGAUCUCAGAAGCUAAGCAGGCGUUGAGCCUGGAUAGUGCUUUGAUGGGGUGACCACCAUGCACAAAACAGGCUGUCAUAAGCC
rnacentral:rRNA from 1 species